CGGUGGCUGCUCCGGCUGGGACCUCCGGGCUCCUAACGGGUGGGGUGGGACCGGACCGGGACCGGACCUACCCGCGCCUUCCCUUCACAUCUUGCCCUCCCGGAGCCUGGCGGUGGUCCGAGGAGUCAACACAGGGGGAUAGAGCGUCUUUCCCUCACAGAAACCCAGCGCGGAGCCGCCCCCUCCGCCCUGCAUCCUGUCGUGAGGCACAAGCCGCUCCCCUCCCCUCCUUCCCCGGCCCCCCCUGGCCGCUCCCGCCUGACUUCUCUCUCCCUCCGCAGCGUGUGGCGUGGGCGGGCCGCCCGCAGCCCCAUGGCGGCCGCCCGGCGCGGGGGGCGGGAAGGCGGCGGAAGGCGUCCCGGGUACCGGCAAGGCCUGCACAGCCCCCCCGCCCGAAGGCUUGGGCCGCUGCCGGCGGCGGCAGGAGGCGAAGCGCGGCAGGCCCCGCCAGCGGGGAGCGCUGGGCCUCUGGAGCCGUGCCCUUGGAGGCCUGUAGGGGUCUCACUUAACAACUUCAUGUUUGAAAUAUUCUAGACAUGGAUGAUCACACCUAAAUUGGAAGCAAUGCUCAGGACUUUAGAACAAAUCAUACCUUCUGCUAGAAGGUUUCUCAAGUGUGCUGAUGCUUCAUGAACCUAUGUGAAAUAUCUUGAGUGAAGGGCUCCUUGUAAAUGGAUUGGCCUCCAGGGAGGAAACCAGCAUGUACAAGGGGUUGGAACUGUUAUAAACCAUCAGCUUAUGAUUUGAUGAGCAGCUGACUUCUGGAGUCAUCUCAUAUGAAUUCAUUUCUUGCCUGUGAUGGAUUGUCUUGAAAGUGAAACUGAGACAAGCAAUGGCUAAAACUACACAUCUUCAAUGAUCAUGUUUAAACAGGAACCUUGCCAUUUGUGGAAACUGGGGUUUCUUAAACUGUUAUUUCUAUGUCUGUGGAUUAUUUGAAAUAAAACAUGAGAAUUCUACCAGAA